rnacentral:rRNA from 1 species
GUGGGGAAAGAACGUAAGCAGCUUUUCGGAUCCUAUAAAAAUUCUGAGAUUUACGAUAAAAUGAAGAUUUUAGAUGGGACAGAAGAGGGAGAUGACCCUGUGACAGUCUUGGAGAAAGGCGUGAAGCUCGGCAAGCAGCUCGCGAGCAUGCCGGAUGUGCUUGAGCGCUGGAAGGUGAUGGAAGAUUUCUGGGCCGAGACAAUCAUCUACGUCGCGCCCUCGCACUCCACCGGCAAGCAACACAUGCAGCAUCUUGAGAGUGGCGGGGAGUUCCUCACCCAUAUCUGGGCCCUGCUUUCUCAUGCUGGCAUCCUGAACCUUAACCGGGACAAGGAGCAGGGGGCACAGGCAGAGGCUGUGUGA